rnacentral:rRNA from 1 species
UACGUAGGGUGCAAGCGUUAAUCGGAAUUACUGGGCGUAAAGCGUGCGCAGGCGGUUAUGCAAGACAGAUGUGAAAUCCCCGGGCUCAACCUGUGAACUGCAUUUGUGACUGCAUAGCUGGAGUGCGGCAGAGGGGGAUGGAAUUCCGCGUGUAGCAGUGAAAUGCGUAGAUAUGCGGAGGAACACCGAUGGCGAAGGCAAUCCCCUGGGCCUGCACUGACGCUCAUGCACGAAAGCGUGGGGAGCAAACAGG